AUAAAUCAAAGCCUUCAAAAAUUUGAAAUAAGUCAACGAAUAAAUGAAAUAUAAAAAAAUUGUUAUGGGUACAAAUCUCAACAAAUACAUCAACAACAAUUUAAGUAUGAUGCCAAGGAUUACUUUGACAGGCUCAAUCUAUAAAGAUCUACUUAAUAUGGACAAGUUGUUCUUCAUCCGGUGCUAUGAAAUUUCGCUUUGCUCGCCGUGGAUCUUUAUUGUCGCU
rnacentral:lncRNA from 1 species